GGAGAUGUAGUUUAGUGUUAGAGUGCUUGCCUAGCAAGAGUAAGGUCCUGGGUUUAAUCCCCAGUACCACCA
rnacentral:tRNA from 1 species